CGAGGGGUGGUUCGCGGAGCACUGAUUAUAUAUAGCGUCUGUUUUUUUUUAUACUCGUCCAGAGUCUGGUGACAUGAGUUUGAAGAAGCUAUCUGCUGUGAAGGACAGCAGGAUGAUGGGCAUGUACAGGCAGACUGAAUGGUGUACGAAAAGUGGCGUACCUGGUCUUGGGUCUUCACAUACCGGAACCAUCCACGUCUUCUCCCUGGCCGCCGUUUACCUUCUCCACUCUCUCAUUCUGCACUGGAUGUCAGAGUGAGAUCAGCUGUGCUGAAUUUAUCCCCAGAGCUGCACGGAGGCUGCUUAACUCCAUAAGACUUGGUGUGAAUGAACUGUCUCGAUGGUCAACGUGCUCAAACCACUUUGAAUCAACUGCUGUAAAAUGAUACUAGAUAAAAAUGUUGUUUUACGAACCUUUGUUUUACUAUUACUGUCUGAACAGUACUUAGAACUUGACGGCAAUUCAUUUUCUAUUUACGUUAUAUUGUUCGCUGAUUUGAUACUGCCAAGUGAUUUAUGCCCAUGUGUUCACUGUAUAUCUGGUGAAAAUGACUUACUGUGUAUUUGUAUUUUUAAUGCUCGCAUGAUUGUAGAUAUCGCAUCCACCAGAUCCUAAAUGUCCUAGUAUAUGCUUUGUCGCCCUCAUUUGCGGUUCGAAUGAAUUGAUCGCGUAUUCAAUGAAGUAGAGUCGGAUUGAGCUUGCUCUGUACGUCCUCGGACAUGUUGCGCAGUUUCCAUUUAAGUUCCAUGUUGGUGAGAGCAAUUAAAUCGCUACUAGGAUGGUCUUGAAAUUUGUGAAAUUUAGCAUUUUUUUUUGGCAUGUAUAUAGUACAUAUUGGUGCUUAUCAAUAAUUCGAAAUAAAUAAAUAAACAGCCAGAUAGAUAGAUAGAUAUAUAGGUGGGUGGGGCUAAUUGUGAAUAAACCUUGCGUACGUCUGAUACCUAUAUUACACAUGCUUCACACAUAUAUAAGAUCCACUAUCCCCAUUUUCAUUGUUGACCUGAAAAAUCUUACAAAUUCCUGCCCUCUACUGCCCCCUAGUGCACAGGUUCCCAACCCUGGUCCAGGAACACAGGACAGGACAAGUGGUCCUACACAUUUUAGUGUUUUCCCUUCUUCCUACACAUUUGAUUCAACUAAUCAACUAAUUAAGAGCCCUUCCUGAGUUGAAGUGGCUGUGUUAGAGCAUUGAAAACACUAAAAUACACAGAACAUGGUGGUCUCCAGGACCAGGGUUGGAAACUUGAGCCACUUGCACAGUGGCAUGUCUGUUCAGGUGGUUCGGCUCGGAGUCUCAGACAGAGUGAUGUCAGUUAAGUGUGCUGUCAGUUAAGUGUGCUCGUUAGAAUAUUAGGCCACGCCCAUUCCAACCCUUCCCAGAUCAAUUCCUAAACGUCACUUUAGAGUUGCUUAGGAUUUGCGUAAAUGUCCGUUAUCUUUGGCUUCUUCCCAUUCAUGGAUCAUUUUUAAGUAAGAAAUAAC
ensembl:lncRNA